GGCGACUGAAACGGGACCUAGCCCAGCGCAUAACCUCGCGGUUCGGACAGAGCCGACGAGGGGUGUUGCGUAUCGGUGGAUCCGUCCCGCUCGUGCUCUACCGCCUAAGUCCAAGUAGGAAUACAGCCCCAGGGAGGGUGAGAGGCCCGUGUGGCGGCGCCCGCAAGGGCUACUAGAGCGCGGGCGGAGGGGUCGCUUCACCGGAGAGUCGGGUUGCUUAAUACUGCAGCCCUAAGACAGGUGGUAAACUCCAUCUAAGGCUAAAUACAACCACGAGUCCGAUAGGAGACAAGUACCGUGAGGGAAAGUUGAAAAGGACUUUGAAGAGAGAGUUCAAGAGUACGUGAAGCCGUUAGAAGCUUAAACGGGUGGAACCGCGAAGGUCGAACGAGGGCACUCACCUCGUCGGGCGGGCGGGACCCGGGGUGCUCCGACAGGCCGGCGCCGAUGUCCAAAGUGUGAGCGCAGGAGCGCCCUGUCCGUCGCGUCCCGUUCCGGCGGGCGUACUUGUCCCUCCAGUAGGGAACGCCGCGAGCCGUGGCGGGGACCAGAAGGCCCACGUAGCCCGGAUUGGUACCCUCGGUCCGGA
rnacentral:rRNA from 1 species